CCAUGACCCAAACCGUGAUGGAGGCGAACCAGCUGCUGGUUCGAGCCGAGCGAAGCGAGACGACAACGCAACGCGUUGCCCGCAGGGUGAGGCCGAAGGCCGAAUCAAUCCAGCACGGCCCACCA
rnacentral:sRNA from 1 species